rnacentral:lncRNA from 1 species
CGCCCGGUGCACGAAGAGGGUGGGGUUGACGGGGUUCCGGUGCCGGUGCGGCGAGCUGUUCUGCGGGGAGCACCGGUACUCGGACCGGCACGCGUGCGUCUUCGACUACAAGACCGCCGGGAGGGAGGCCAUCGCACGGGAGAAUCCGCUGGUCAGGGCGUCCAAAAUCAUUAAGAUCUGAUCUCGGUUUCGAGGGGACCGUCUAAUUUGGAGCUUAAAUUCGGGACUUGGGAGUAAAACGAAAAGGAGAAGAUACAUAUAUUUUUGUUGGAAUUUGGAAAGAGAGAAAAAAAAAAAUAAUAGUAGUUUUUUACACACAAGAAGAAGAGGAAAAAAAACAAAAAAAACGAGAAAAGGUGCUUCAUUAGCGUUAUUGUGCUUGUGGACUCUUCUCUGGUAUCUAUCGAGAUGUCUAAAAUUUUAUAAUAUUCAGAAAUUUUGUGAUUCAAGUAGAAGAGAAAUAACGCGGUGGAGAUAUUUCGUUUGGUAGUCUGAAAGUUUUAGUUGUUUCUGUGCUACAAUAUUAAAUGAAAAGAAUUCGUCCGAAGGUCAAAGAAUCAGAACAAUACCAGCAAAAGUAAAAGAGGUUUAUAAUGGCGCACGCACCUUAAGAGGGCCCUCUGCAGUGCUCAUGAUGAGUCAUUCACAUAUAUAAUUUUUUUUUUCUUUUUUCUCUUUUACAGCAUUCUGUGAGGGAGAGAGAGAGAGAGAGAGAGAGUGCGGAAAAGAUAUCAAUCUAUCAACUUUUUUUUGUUCAAAUAAAUUUAGUUAAAAUAUAAAAUAAUUAAUAAUUAAAUUUUUAAUUUGAAAUCUUGAGUAUUAACUACCAGAUUUUUUACCAAUUGCUUUAGAUAGGAACAGUCUCUGUUGCACUGUUUUAGCUGCAGCUGUAGGGUAUAUCUCUAUACAUUGACAAUUAUUAUUUGUUUUGUAUAUUCUUAAGCAGUCCGGCAUACCAGUUGCUCAUCAUUAAUAUAUAGCACACUAAUUAUGUUAAAGUUAGAGAACACAUAAAUGAUGAAGAAUGCAUCAAUAGAUACUGGCUAGCUUAGUCCAUCAUGCCAGCUGACUACCACAAGAAGUUCCGG